rnacentral:rRNA from 1 species
GACGGACGCUGGCGGCGUGCUUAACACAUGCAAGUCGAACGGAAAGGCCCUGCUUUCGUGGGGUGCUCGAGUGGCGAACGGGUGAGUAACACGUGAGUAACCUGCCCUUGACUUUGGGAUAACUUCAGGAAACUGGGGCUAAUACCGGAUAGGAGCUCCUGCUGCAUGGUGGGGGUUGGAAAGUUUCGGCGGUUGGGGAUGGACUCGCGGCUUAUCAGCUUGUUGGUGGGGUAGUGGCUUACCAAGGCUUUGACGGGUAGCCGGCCUGAGAGGGUGACCGGCCACAUUGGGACUGAGAUACGGCCCAGACUCCUACGGGAGGCAGCAGUGGGGAAUAUUGCACAAUGGGCGGAAGCCUGAUGCAGCAACGCCGCGUGCGGGAUGACGGCCUUCGGGUUGUAAACCGCUUUCGCCUGUGACGAAGCGUGAGUGACGGUAAUGGGUAAAGAAGCACCGGCUAACUACGUG